AAUAUUAUAAAUAUUCGAACUUCAUAAGAAAAUGACAAAAUGAUGUUUAAUUUCACGGGACGAGGUUAUAUGGUGGGAUGGGUUUGGAUUGAUAUUAAUACGGGAUGGUAUAUUAUGAAUGUAUCUAUAGAUCAUCUUAAAAACAAAAAUUUAAUUUUUUAUUUAAU
rnacentral:sRNA from 1 species